UCUUAUGGCUGAGCAAAGAAAGUGGUUUCUUGAAAUGAAAACUACUGCUGGUGGAGAUGCUAUGAA
rnacentral:pre_miRNA from 2 species